rnacentral:ncRNA from 1 species
UGCAAUUCGAUGAUCUGGAGAAGUAGUAUUUGUCAAUGGUUACAGCGAGUUGGGGAGUGGUGCAAGCCUGACAACAACACAAAUAUCAAAAGAGCCAGUGAGAUUUUCCCUGAAAUAGCAGUAGGGGGAACGUAUUCCUGCGAUAAGGGUUUUUGAGUGGGUGUUUUAUCAAUAAGGUUUAUGCAAACACCAAUUAGAGUGGUACCACGGCAGCUCCGUCUCUUUA